CCUACGGGAGGCAGCAGUGGGGAAUAUUGCACAAUGGGCGCAAGCCUGAUGCAGCGACGCCGCGUGAGGGAUGACGGCCUUCGGGUUGUAAACCUCUUUCAGUAGGGAAGAAGCGAAAGUGACGGUACCUGCAGAAGAAGCGCCGGCUAACUACGUGCCAGCAGCCGCGGUAAUACGUAGGGCGCAAGCGUUAUCCGGAAUUAUUGGGCGUAAAGAGCUCGUAGGCGGUUUGUCGCGUCUGCCGUGAAAGUCCGGGGCUCAACUCCGGAUCUGCGGUGGGUACGGGCAGACUAGAGUGAUGUAGGGGAGACUGGAAUUCCUGGUGUAGCGGUGAAAUGCGCAGAUAUCAGGAGGAACACCGAUGGCGAAGGCAGGUCUCUGGGCAUUAACUGACGCUGAGGAGCGAAAGCAUGGGGAGCGAACAGGAUUAGAUACCCUGGUAGUCCAUGCCGUAAACGUUGGGCACUAGGUGUGGGGGACAUUCCACGUUUUCCGCGCCGUAGCUAACGCAUUAAGUGCCCCGCCUGGGGAGUACGGCCGCAAGGCUAAAACGUCAAAGGAUUGACGG
rnacentral:rRNA from 1 species